GAUGAACGCUGGCGGCGUGCCUAACACAUGCAAGUCGAACGGAGUUGUUAUUAGGAAGUUUUCGGAUGGAAUAAUAAUAACUUAGUGGCGGACGGGUGAGCAACGCGUGGGUAACCUGCCUCAUACAGGGGGAUAACAGUUGGAAACGGCUGCUAAAACCGCAUGACAUUGCGAUGUCGCAUGACAAUGCAAUGAAAUAUUUAUAGGUAUGAGAUGGGCCCGCGUCUGAUUAGCUAGUUGGUGAGGUAAUGGCCCACCAAGGCGACGAUCAGUAGCCGGCUUGAGAGAGUGACCGGCCACAUUGGGACUGAGACACGGCCCAAACUCCUACGGGAGGCAGCAGUGGGGAAUAUUGCACAAUGGGGGAAACCCUGAUGCAGCGACGCCGCGUGAGUGAAGAAGUAUUUCGGUAUGUAAAGCUCUAUCAGCAGGGAAGAAAAUGACGGUACCUGACUAAGAAGCCCCGGCUAACUACGUGCCAGCCGCCGCAGUAA
rnacentral:rRNA from 1 species